rnacentral:rRNA from 1 species
ACGCCGUAAACGAUGAUAACUAGCUGUCCGGGCACUUGGUGCUUGGGUGGCGCAGCUAACGCAUUAAGUUAUCCGCCUGGGGAGUACGGUCGCAAGAUUAAAACUCAAAGGAAUUGACGGGGGCCUGCACAAGCGGUGGAGCAUGUGGUU